CCUACGUGAGGCAGCAGUGAGGAAUAUUGGUCAAUGGACGAGAGUCUGAACCAGCCAAGUAGCGUGAAGGAUGACUGCCCUAUGGGUUGUAAACUUCUUUUAUAUGGGAAUAAAAUGUUCCACGUAUGUGAUUUUGUAUGUACCAUAUGAAUAAGGAUCGGCAAACUCCGUGCCAGCAGCCGCGGUAAUACGGAGGAUACGAGCGUUAUCCGGUUUGAUUGAGUUGAACGGGAGCGUAGGUGGAUUGUUAAGUCAGUUGUGAAAGUUUUCGGCUCAACCGUAACAUUGCAGUUGAAACUGGCAGUCUUGAGUACAGUAGAGGUGGGCGGAAUUCGUGGUGUAGCGGUGAAAUGCUUAGAUAUCACGAAGAACUCCGAUUGCGAAGGCAGUUCACUGGACUGCAACUGACACUGAGGCUCGAAAGUGUGGGUAUCAAACAGGAUUAGAUACCCCUGUAGUC
rnacentral:rRNA from 1 species